rnacentral:rRNA from 1 species
UCAUGGGCGAGAGCCUGAACCAGCCNAGUAGCGUGAAGGAUGAAGGCUCUAUGGGUCGUAAACUUCUUUUAUAUGGGAAUAAAGUAUUCCACGUGUGGAAUUUUGUAUGUACCAUAUGAAUAAGGAUCGGCUAACUCCGUGCCAGCAGCCGCGGUAAUACGGAGGAUCCGAGCGUUAUCCGGAUUUAUUGGGUUUAAAGGGAGCGUAGGUGGAUUGUUAAGUCAGUUGUGAAAGUUUGCGGCUCAACCGUAAAAUUGCAGUUGAAACUGGCAGUCUUGAGUACAGUAGAGGUGGGCGGAAUUCGUGGUGUAGCGGUGAAAUGCUUAGAUAUCACGAAGAACUCCGAUUGCGAAGGCAGCUCACUAGACUGUUACUGACACUGAUGCUCGAAAGUGUGGGUAUCAAACAGGAUUAGAUACCCUAGUAGUCCAAGGGCGAAUUC